AAACUAACAAGGAUUCCCCCAGUAACGGCGAGUGAAGCGGAAGAGCUCAAGCUUAAAAUCUCCAUGUUUACAUGGCGAAUUGUAGUCUAUUGAGGCUGUUGUCAGCAUAGCGAUCUGGGAAAAGUCCCUUGGAAAAGGGCAGCAUAGAGGGUGAUACUCCCGUCUUUGCUCAGAUUGUCUGUGUGUACGAUACGCUUUCUUUGAGUCGAGUUGUUUGGGAAUACAGCUCAAAGUAGGUGGUAAAUUCCAUCUAAAGCUAAAUAUUGGUGCGAGACCGAUAGCGAACAAGUACCGUGAGGGAAAGAUGAAAAGAACUUUGAAAAGAGAGUUAAAGAGUACCUGAAACUGUUGAAAGGGAACCGUAUCGUUUCCAGUGUUUUAUCCUAUGCAUAUUUCAUCGGCGGAGUAAUUUGCUGGUGCCCUGUGCAUGGGUGUGACGUCAGAGUCAGUUUGUAUGCUGCGGGAGAUGGUUAGUAAGAAGGUGCGUCACUUCGGUGAAAGUUAUAUCUUGCUAUCUAGUUGCCGUGGUUGAGACUGAGGUGCCUACAACAUGCCCUGGGGUUCAGUGGCGUCUCGUUUUGGUGACUGCUUGGAUAGCUUGCUAUGUCUGUGGUUAAUCAGGGCGAUCGAUGCUAUUGAAAACCUCUGCUGUUCGGGAC
rnacentral:rRNA from 2 species